rnacentral:rRNA from 1 species
CAGUCGCGGGAAUACCGAGGGUGCAAGCGUUAAUCGGAAUUACUGGGCGUAAAGCGCGCGUAGGUGGUUUGUUAAGUUGGAUGUGAAAUCCCCGGGCUCGACCUGGGAACUGCAUCCAAAACUGGCAGGCUAGAGUAGGGCAGAGGGUGGUGGAAUUUCCUGUGUAGCGGUGAAAUGCGUAGAUAUAGGAAGGAACACCAGUGGCGAAGGCGACCACCUGGGCUCAUACUGACACUGAGGUGCGAAAGCGUGGGGAGCAAACAGGAUUAGAUACCCCCGUAGUCCCUGUCUCUUAUACACC